ACUAUUUUGGCAGAUUAGUGCACUAAAUUUAGAAUUUAUAUAUGUAAUUUUUUAUUACAAAUAGUA
rnacentral:tRNA from 1 species